UGCAACCUGAGCUCAGUCGUGACUACCCGCUGAACUUAAGCAUAUCACUUAGCGGAGGAAAAAAACUAA
rnacentral:rRNA from 1 species